rnacentral:rRNA from 1 species
ACCGGCGCACGGGUGAGUAACACGUAUGCAACCUGCCCCUGUCAGGGGGACAACCCGCCGAAAGGCGGGCUAAACCCGCGUACAUGCCACCGGGGCAUCCCGGAGGCAGGAAAGGCUUCGGCCGGACAGGGAUGGGCAUGCGGCGCAUUAGGCAGUAGGCGGGGUAACGGCCCACCUAACCGACGAUGCGUAGGGGUUCUGAGAGGAAGGUCCCCCACACUGGUACUGAGACACGAACCAGACUCCUACGGGAGGCAGCAGUGAGGAAUAUUGGUCAAUGGUCGGGAGACUGAACCAGCCAAGCCGCGUGAGGGAGGAAGGUACAGAGUAUCGUAAACCUCUUUUGUCAGGGAACAAAGACUGGGACGCGUCCCCGGAUGAGUGUACCUGAAGAAAAAGCAUCGGCUAACUCCGUGCCAGCAGCCGCGGUAAUACGGAGGAUGCGAGCGUUAUCCGGAUUUAUUGGGUUUAAAGGGUGCGCAGGCGGUCUGUUAAGUCAGCGGUCAAAGCCCGGGGCUCAACCCCGGCCCGCCGUUGAAACUGGCAGUCUCGAGUUGGAGAGAAGUAUGCGGAAUGCGCGGUGUAGCGGUGAAAUGCAUAGAUAUCGCGCAGAACUCCGAUUGCGAAGGCAGCAUGCCGGCUCCACACUGACGCUGAGGCACGAAAGCGUGGGUAUCGAACAGGAUUAGAUACCCUGGUAGUCCACGCAGUAAACGAUGAAUGCUG